rnacentral:rRNA from 1 species
GAACGGGUGAGUAACACGUGGGCAAUCUGCCCUGCACUCUGGGAUAACUCCGGGAAACCGGAGCUAAUACCGGAUACGACCUUCCAGGGCAUCCUGGGGGGUGGAAAGCUCCGGCGGUGCAGGAUGAGCCCGCGGCCUAUCAGCUGGUUGGUGGGGUGACGGCCCACCAAGGCGACGACGGGUAGCCGGCCUGAGAGGGCGACCGGCCACACUGGGACUGAGACACGGCCCAGACUCCUACGGGAGGCAGCAGUGGGGAAUAUUGCACAAUGGGCGCAAGCCUGAUGCAGCGACGCCGCGUGAGGGAUGACGGCCUUCGGGUUGUAAACCUCUUUCAGCAGGGAAGAAGCGCAAGUGACGGUACCUGCAGAAGAAGCACCGGCUAACUACGUGCCAGCAGCCGCGGUAAUACGUAGGGUGCGAGCGUUGUCCGGAAUUAUUGGGCGUAAAGAGCUCGUAGGCGGCCUGUCGCGUCGGAUGUGAAAGCCCGGGGCUUAACCCCGGGUCUGCAUUCGAUACGGGCAGGCUAGAGUUCGGUAG